rnacentral:rRNA from 1 species
UACGGAGGGGGCUAGCGUUGUUCGGAAUUACUGGGCGUAAAGCGCACGUAGGCGGCGCAGCAAGUUGGGGGUGAAAUCCCGAGGCUCAACCUCGGAAUUGCCUUCAAAACUGCUGUGCUCGAGUUCGGAAGAGGUGAGUGGAAUUCCCAGUGUAGAGGUGAAAUUCGUAGAGAUUGGGAAGAACACCAGCGGCGAAGGCGAGUCCCUGGACAUCUCCUGACACUGAGGCACGAAAGCUAGGGGAGCAAACAGG